rnacentral:rRNA from 1 species
AGCGAACGCUGGCGGCAGGCCUAACACAUGCAAGUCGAACGAACUCUUCGGAGUUAGUGGCGGACGGGUGAGUAACACGUGGGAACGUGCCUUUAGGUUCGGAAUAACUCAGGGAAACUCGUGCUAAUACCGAAUGUGCCCUUCGGGGGAAAGAUUUAUCGCCUUUAGAGCGGCCCGCGUCUGAUUAGCUAGUUGGUGAGGUAAUGGCUCACCAAGGCGACGAUCAGUAGCUGGUCUGAGAGGAUGACCAGCCACAUUGGGACUGAGACACGGCCCAAACUCCUACGGGAGGCAGCAGUGGGGAAUCUUGCGCAAUGGGCGAAAGCCUGACGCAGCCAUGCCGCGUGUAUGAUGAAGGUCUUAGGAUUGUAAAAUACUUUCACCAGUGAAGAUAAUGACUGUAGCCGGAGAAGAAGCCCCGGCUAACUACGUGCCAGCCGCCGCCGUAAAAC